AUUGAACGCUGGCGGCAGGCCUAACACAUGCAAGUCGAACGGUAACAGGAAGAAGCUUGCUUCUUUGCUGACGAGUGGCGGACGGGUGAGUAAUGUCUGGGAAACUGCCUGAUGGAGGGGGAUAACUACUGGAAACGGUAGCUAAUACCGCAUAACGUCGCAAGACCAAAAAGGGGGACCUUCGGGCCUCUUGCCAUCGGAUGUGCCCAGAUGGGAUUAGCUAGUAGGUGGGGUAACGGCUCACCUAGGCGACGAUCCCUAGCUGGUCUGAGAGGAUGACCAGCCACACUGGAACUGAGACACGGUCCAGACUCCUACGGGAGGCAGCAGUGGGGAAUAUUGCACAAUGGGCGCAAGCCUGAUGCAGCCAUGCCGCGUGUAUGAAGAAGGCCUUCGGGUUGUAAAGUACUUUCAGCGGGGAGGAAGGGAGUAAAGUUAAUACCUUUGCUCAUUGACGUUACCCGCAGAAGAAGCACCGGCUAACUCCGUGCCAGCAGCCGCGGUAAUACGGAGGGUGCAAGCGUUAAUCGGAAUUACUGGGCGUAAAGCGCACGCAGGCGGUUUGUUAAGUCAGAUGUGAAAUCCCCGGGCUCAACCUGGGAACUGCAUCUGAUACUGGCAAGCUUGAGUCUCGUAGAGGGGGGUAGAAUUCCAGGUGUAGCGGUGAAAUGCGUAGAGAUCUGGAGGAAUACCGGUGGCGAAGGCGGCCCCCUGGACGAAGACUGACGCUCAGGUGC
rnacentral:rRNA from 1 species